rnacentral:rRNA from 1 species
GACGAACGCUGGCGGCGUGCUUAACACAUGCAAGUCGAGCGGUAAGGCUCCUUCGGGAGCACACGAGCGGCGAACGGGUGAGUAACACGUGAGCAAUCUGCCCUCCACAUCGGGAUAACCCUCGGAAACGAGGGCUAAUACCGGAUACGACCACCUCAGGCAUCUGUUGGUGGUGGAAAGUUCCGGCGGUGGAGGAUGAGCUCGCGGCCUAUCAGCUUGUUGGUGGGGUAACGGCCCACCAAGGCUACGGCGGGUAGCCGGCCUGAGAGGGUGACCGGCCACGCUGGGACUGAGACAGGGCCCAGACUCCUACGGGAGGCAGCAGUGGGGAAUAUUGGACAAUGGGCGAAAGCCUGAGCCAGCGACGCCGCGUGAGGGAUGACGGCCUUCGGGUUGUAAACCUCUUUCAGCGCAGACGAAGCGAAAGUGACGGUAUGCGCAGAAGAAGCACCGGCCAACUACGUGCCAGCCGCCGCCGUAAUAC